GUUGUUCCUGCCUUACUGUAGAUAGAGCUUAACAACUCAUAUAGCAGCUGAUGAUGAUGAUGAUUACUGUCAUGAAUCUCUAUUGAUUUGGGGCUGCCCUAAAUAGUAAACAGGAUUUUUUGCACCUGAGCAACCAAAGCUAAAGCACUCCUGUAGCAAGCUCCUGUGGUACAGAUGGCUGGAUUUACAACUUGCAGAAUUUGUUUGAGAACCACUGAAGAUGGUUGACAUGCACUGAUCCAUUUCAGGAUCAUGUUAGUGAUGCCAACUGGGGGAUGGUCCCAACUGAAUGUUAAGUGAGGGAGUGAUACAACUGGUCCUUCUGCGUGUUGGAAUCAGUGCAGCAUUGAGGAGGUCAGAAAGGGUAUAAAAGGGCAUAACUCACACACCUCCUCAUGUUUUUCUUUAAAUGCUCUUCUGUUCAUGGAGAUACCCUUGAAAUCUCACUUCUGUACCACUGAUAAAUUCUUUUGCUAUCCUCAUGCAUGCCCAGAUGCUGCUUCUUGUUCAUCCCUCUUUCCUGACCAGUAUGGGCCAGGACCAGUGCAAGACCGAGACAGGAAUGAAAUAUAAUGCACCUUAAAUUGUUCUACUUUACACGAAAGCUGAUUGCUUUGUCACUUCACUCUUAAAGCACCACUUUGUGUUUUGUUUCUCUUGUUCUUUUCUGACUGCUGCAGGUAUGGGCACAUGCCUUCUUGUCAUACUGUGCUUCUUUUUUCUUUGCUUCUCUGAGUCUGUUCUAGGAUUAUUUCUGUGGUAGCGUGGUCACAUCUGCUGUUUCACUGUAAUGCUGGAGUUAAGUGGAGUACGGUUUGUGCUUUUAGCUUCAGUGAACUUUGUCAUUCAUUAAUUGCCAUGGACUUAAAUUAUUUGUUGAUGUAAAUUACUUCUAAAUCUUUUACUUCACACUCAAAAUUACGAUAAUUGUAAGUAGAUGAACUGAAAUGACAAACCUAAUGAUGCAAUUGCUUCCUGAUAGAGCUCUUUAGAUAAGAGGCAGUAACAACUUUAGUUUUGUCAGUGUCUCUAAGGACUGUGUUUUCUUCAUCACAUAAGACUCCUAUAUGUAUCCAGGCAGGCUGGUCUAAUUUGUACAUCUAUCAGCGGAGCUGCAUGGCCAAAAGAAGAGUGGUGCUCCAAACAAAAAAGAUAAAUAACCAAUAUGGAAAAUUGAUCGAAAGCAAUUUUAUUUCACUUAGAACCAAAGGAGUGUUGAGUUUCUAUAUGACUGUUUCAUAUGGGUUCUGAAUUGUACAGCAUUCCAAAAGGGACUCAAAUACUUUCCUCAUUGCUUCACUAAUACGACUGCAAAUCUGGGCAAAUAUUACAAAUAUGAUCAGUCUUAUGUCUUGCUGUUCCCAUAUAUGCCACAACUGUGCACAAGCUGGGAGGAAGAAGAAAAAUUUCGAUCUCCAUAUGUGGUAGACUUUGAAUUGUGAGUGGUUUAGAAAGUUUUGUGUUAGGCAAAAUGGGAGUCUUUUUAUAGUUUUGUUCUUCAUUUUUAGCUCUUGUUAUUCUGGUCUUGCAGGAGCCAGUGUACUAAUUAGAUCAUUCUGCCUUCUGAAGCCUGUUGGUCAUAUUUUAAUUGUGCUUUCAAUGAUUUUUUUUUCAAAUAAAAUGGAAUGAGAAAAGUCUGUUGGAAAAUUUUGUGAUUUAUUUUUAGAUUUUUGGUGCAGUUUGCUUCU